AGAGUUUGAUCAUGGCUCAGAUUGAACGCUGGCGGCAGGCCUAACACAUGCAAGUCGAACGGUAACAGGAAUCAGCUUGCUGAUUUGCUGACGAGUGGCGGACGGGUGAGUAAUGUCUGGGAAACUGCCUGAUGGAGGGGGAUAACUACUGGAAACGGUAGCUAAUACCGCAUAACGUCGCAAGACCAAAGAGGGGGACCUUCGGGCCUCUUGCCAUCGGAUGUGCCCAGAUGGGAUUAGCUAGUAGGUGGGGUAACGGCUCACCUAGGCGACGAUCCCUAGCUGGUCUGAGAGGAUGACCAGCCACACUGGAACUGAGACACGGUCCAGACUCCUACGGGAGGCAACAGUGGGGAAUAUUGCACAAUGGGGGAAACCCUGAUGCAGCGACGCCGCGUGAAGGAAGAAGUAUCUCGGUAUGUAAACUUCUAUCAGCAGGGAAGAAAGUGACGGUACCUGACUAAGAAGCCCCGG
rnacentral:rRNA from 1 species